UACACGCUUCUGUUUAAUCAUCAGUUAGCAACUUAGCAACCGCUUAGAUCUCACAUAGCAACGGCGUACAAGAGACAGAAUAAACUACACAGUUAUCACAGGCAUGUUAGCCGUAAAUAGAUUCAGUUAUGUUUGAUGGUGUGGUUCGGAUACACGAUGAAAGCCGACACCUUUCACCUCUCUGCAGGUAGAAAGCGCAGAAGCUAACUGUUUUCAUCUGGACGCACGACGUUAGCUAGCUGAGUGAUAACCAGGUGUGACACCACUUUGAUAUCUCUUCCACGCGAAUACGUCGAAAUGAUCCUCUCUCGGUCGAAGCCCGCCUUGGGCAGCGUCAGCGAGAAAAA